rnacentral:sRNA from 1 species
GCGGCAAAAGCUCAAAUUUGAAAUCUGGCGCCUUCGGUGUCCGAGUUGUAAUUUGAAGAUUGUAACCUUGGGGUUGGCUCUUGUCUAUGUUUCUUGGAACAGGACGUCACAGAGGGUGAGAAUCCCGUGCGAUGAGAUGCCCAAUUCUAUGUAAGGUGCUUUCGAAGAGUCGAGUUGUUUGGGAAUGCAGCUCUAAGUGGGUGGUAAAUUCCAUCUAAAGCUAAAUAUUGGCGAGAGACCGAUAGCGAACAAGUACAGUGAUGGAAAGAUGAAAAGAACUUUGAAAAGAGAGUGAAAAAGUACGUGAAAUUGUUGAAAGGGAAGGGUUUGAGAUCAGACUCGAUAUUUUGUGAGCCUUGCCUUCGUGGCGGGGUGACCCGCAGCUUAUCGGGCCAGCAUCGGUUUGGGCGGUAGGAUAAUGGCGUAGGAAUGUGACUUUACUUCGGUGAAGUGUUAUAGCCUGCGUUGAUGCUGCCUGCCUAGACCGAGGACUGCGAUUUUAUCAAGGAUGCUGGCAUAAUGAUCCCAAACCGCCCGUCUUG